GCAGAUGUGGUGGAACGGUAGACACGCUAUCUUGAGGUGGUAGUGGCAAGAGCUGUGAGGGUUCAAGUCCCUCCAUCUGCA
rnacentral:tRNA from 1 species